AACGUAGGUGGCGAGCGUUAUCCGGAUUUACUGGGCGUAAAGGGUGUGCAGGCGGGAGUGCAAGUGGGGUAUGAAAUCUCCAGGCUUAACCUGGAGGGGUUAUGCCAGACUGCAUUUCUAGAGGACGAGAGAGGGGCGUGGAAUUCCGGGUGUAGUGGUGAAAUUCGUAGAUAUCGAGAGGAACACCGGUGGCGAAGGCGGCCAACUGGACGAAUACUGACGCUGAAACACGAAAGCGUGGGGAGCAAACAGG
rnacentral:rRNA from 1 species